rnacentral:rRNA from 1 species
CCUACGGGAGGCAGCAGUGGGGAAUAUUGCACAAUGGGGGAAACCCUGAUGCAGCGACGCCGCGUGAGUGAAGAAGUAUUUCGGUACGUAAAGCUCUAUCAGCAGGGAAGAAAAUGACGGUACCUGACUAAGAAGCCCCGGCUAACUACGUGCCAGCAGCCGCGGUAAUACGUAGGGGGCAAGCGUUAUCCGGAUUUACUGGGUGUAAAGGGAGCGUAGACGGCAGCGCAAGUCUGGAGUGAAAUCCCAUGGCUUAACCAUGGAACUGCUUUGGAAACUGUGCAGCUAGAGUGCAGGAGAGGUAAGCGGAAUUCCUAGUGUAGCGGUGAAAUGCGUAGAUAUUAGGAGGAACACCAGUGGCGAAGGCGGCUUACUGGACUGUAACUGACGUUGAGGCUCGAAAGCGUGGGGAGCAAACAGGAUUAAAUACCCCUGUAGUC